rnacentral:rRNA from 1 species
UACGGAGGGUGCGAGCGUUGUCCGGAAUCACUGGGCGUAAAGGGCGCGUAGGCGGCCUGAUAAGUAGGGGGUGAAAUCCUGCGGCUUAACCGCAGGGCUGCCUUCUAAACUGUCAGGCUCGAGCACAGUAGAGGCAGGUGGAAUUCCCGGUGUAGCGGUGGAAUGCGUGGAGAUCGGGAAGAACAUCAGUGGCGAAGGCGGCCUGCUGGGCUGUUGCUGACGCUGAGGCGCGACAGCGUGGGGAGCAAACAGG